rfam:Oryza glaberrima chromosome 7 Oglab07_0141_5, whole genome shotgun sequence.
AAAAAGACAAACCCUAAUUUUUUGUGUUCAACAUUUAACUGUUCCUCUUAUAUGAAUUUUUUUAUAAUUAGUAUUUUCAUUGUUGUUAGAUGAUAAAACAUGAUUAAUACUUAAUGCGUGACUUGUCUUUUUAAUUUUUUCAUAAUUUUGUCAAAUAAGACGGAUGGUUAAACGUUGAAGACGAAAACUCAGGUUUGUUUUUUUG